CUAGUACUCCUCUUUGUUCUAGGACUGUAACCUGAAUGAGCAUAUGGACAAUACAACAGAGUACUGAACUCAGAGCAUCAAAGUACAAGGGAGCCCUGUAAUCUCCUUUUGGCUGAUUGUCAGAUCCCUUUACUGUCUAUGACUGAGAGCUCCAGAGCUCCAGACUGAGAGCUGGGACUGCCUUAGCUCUCAGGUCUGUUUUCUACUCCCUCCCUAUCUUCUCUGCCAUCUUGGCUCCAGUGUAAUUUCUGUAGGGAAAAUAUUUUGUCAACUGGAUGGAGAAGGAAAACUUUGGGGAGAAGAUGAGACCAAAGUUGGACCUUGAACAUAAAGAUUCCAAAAGGGUGAGACAAAAGAGAGAAUUUCAACCAUACAAUGAAAGCUUUUUGAGGACUGGGAAUGCUUUUCACUCUAUUCUUAUAACUUGGCACAGUCCCUUGAACAUGGUUUCCAUCCAUCUAUCUGGAUGUUGUUAGUAACCAGGCUGGCCACUCUGAAAAACUCAUUUGGACUGAAGUCAAUUAAUAUUGCCUGCUACAAAAACCACAUGACUGGCUCAAGGGGAAUUAGAAGGGUUAGAAGGACAGCAGCUAUAAACAUUUCAUCUCUUCCUCUGCAUGGGAAUAGGGAAAUGCAACUAAUACAGAAAGAACAGGUGAAGAUUUAACACAUCCCUUACAUUUUUCUGUGUAAAACCAGCCUGGACUCCCCUUUCUCUGUGUCUGAUUAUCAGGCUUCUUCAGUUCACUACAUCUUGUCCAAAUAUGAUCUAACUGGAGCCAUGAAAAUUAUUUUCAAGUGAUUAUCGUAUUAAUUGUCUGACCAUCAUGUCAUAGAAUCACCCAAAUCCUAGGAUAUCUUAGGAUUUUAGGUCAAUAUCUUUGAUCUAUUGAUGUGGCAGAAAGUGAAAGCGGAUGUUUUGUUGUGAGAGAUUCCAGUUACUUUUCCCUAAAUACUCGCCCUUUGGUCUGGGUUACUUAUAUUUUUCAAGGGUCUUUGUAUUUUUCCUUGAGCCUCAUCAACUUUUCUUGUUAGCCUACAAUAGAAUGACCUCUAAAGCUACUUGAAGAGACAAUGAAUUAAAUUUUGUAAGAGGUUAAUAAAAUUCAGUCCAACUUAUUAAAUGCA
rnacentral:lncRNA from 1 species